rnacentral:rRNA from 1 species
CCGGCAGCUCUAGUGGUAGCUGUUUUUAUUGGGCCUAAAGCGUUCGUAGCCGGUUUGAUAAGUCUCUGGUGAAAUCCUGUAGCUUAACUGUGGGAAUCGCUGGUGAUACUGUUGAACUUGAGGUCGGGAGAGGUUAGCGGUACUCCCAGGGUAGAGGUGAAAUUCUGUAAUCCUGGGAGGACCACCUGUGGCGAAGGCGGCUAACUGGAACGAACCUGACGGUGAGGGACGAAAGCUAGGGGCGCGAACCGGAUUAGAUACCCUGGUAGUCCCUGAGCGGG